UCGGGUUUUAUAGACAUAGAUUGGUUUAAUUUAUGCAUGAAAGCUACAGGUUUCAAGUGGUAAGUUUUGAAAUGAAAACUUCGGGUUUCAAAUGCGCUAAAUAUGAAACUAUAUGUUCAAUUUAGUUUUAUGAAUGAUUAGUUCAUAAAGGAAAGGUUCCUGCAAGAAUACAAAAUGUAAUAUGUUGAUUUAAGUGUAAUGGAUUUGAGUUGCUUUAGGACUACGAAAGGAUAUCAACGGUUCAAAUUAUAAAAAUAAAUUAUUGAAUCGUUAAUGUCCAAAAGUGAUCUUCAGGUUAAUAAUUUUGGAUUAAUUAUCAGAUUAAAGGACUACAUGUCACUUUUAAUUAAUUCAAUAGAUUAGGACCAAACGGGGUCAAUCGUGGAAGUAACAUAAUGACAUAUGGGUCGUAUUAGCUUCGAUUGGUGAUAAACCAAGUGAUAAUUAAAUUAGAAUUAAUUAGCGUAAAACAAAGUACCCCCAAAAAAUAUUUUGGGCAUGAUUUAUAAAGCGGAGAUGCCAAAAAUUGGCAUCGGGUUGAAAAAAAAUACACUGGAGUAGGCCCUAUAGAUUCGGCUGCAGGCUUAUUAGGCCUUGGUGAGGGUUGCAGGCCUUGGACCAAGUGGUCUGGGAAGCCUAGCAGCAAAAGCUACUGGUAUUAGGCCAAGAAAUUGGACACGGCUGCA
rnacentral:lncRNA from 1 species